AUUGAACGCUAGCGGCAUGCUUUACACAUGCAAGUCGAACGAGUGGCGGACGGGUGAGUAAUAUAUUGGAACGUGCCCAGUAGCGGGGGAUAACUACUCUAAAGAGUGGCUAAUACUGCAUACUAUUGUAUCGGCCGACGUCGGAUGAGCUAGCCGGUGGGGUAAAGGCUCACCAAGGCAACGAUCCGUAGCUGGUGUGAGAGGACGACCAGCCACACUGGGACUGAGACACGGCCCAGACUCCUACGGGAGGCAGCAGUGGGGAAUUUUGGACAAUGGGGGAAACCCUGAUCCAGCCAUCCCGCGUGAAUGAGAAGGCCUUCGGAUUGUAAAGUACUUUUGGCAGAGAAGCGGUAUCUGCAGAAAAAGCACCGGCUAACUACGUGCCAGCAGCCGCGGUAAUUC
rnacentral:rRNA from 1 species